rnacentral:rRNA from 1 species
UUGGAGGGCAAGUCUGGUGCCAGCAGCCGCGGUAAUUCCAGCUCCAAUAGCGUAUAUUAAAGUUGUUGCAGUUAAAAAGCUCGUAGUUGAAUUUCGGGGUCAGCAGGUUGGUCGUGCCAAUGGUAUGAACUGGCCUUGCUGAUUCCUCCCUCUUGAUGAGCCGUAAUGCCAUUAAUUUGGUGUUGCGGGGAAUCAGGACUGUUACUUUGAAAAAAUUAGAGUGUUUAAAGCAGGCAAGCGCUUGAAUACAUUAGCAUGGAAUAAUGAAAUAGGACGUUUGAUCCUAUUUUGUUGGUUUCUAGGAUUGACGUAAUGAUUAAUAGGGAUAGUUGGGGGCAUUAGUAUUCAAUUGUCAGAGGUGAAAUUCUUGGAUUCAUUGAAGACUGACUACUGCGAAAGCAUUUGCCAAGGAUGUUUUCAUUAAUCAAGAACGAAAGUUAGGGGAUCGAGGACGAUCAGAUACCGUCGUAGUCUUAACCAUAAACUAUGCCGACUAGGGAUCGGAUGAUGUUAAUUUUUUAAUGACUCAUUCGGCGCCUUACGGGAAACCAAAGUGUUUGGGUUC